rnacentral:rRNA from 1 species
UACGUAGGGUGCAGGCGUUAAUCGGAAUUACUGGGCGUAAAGCGUGCGCAGGCGGUUUGCUAAGACAGGUGUGAAAUCCCCGGGCUUAACCUGGGAACUGCGCUUGUAACUGGCAAGCUAGAGUGUGGCAGAGGGGGGUGGAAUUCCACGUGUAGCAGUGAAAUGCGUAGAGAUGUGGAGGAACACCGAUGGCGAAGGCAGCCCCCUGGGCUAACACUGACGCUCAGGCACGAAAGCGUGGGGAGCAAACAGG